rnacentral:rRNA from 1 species
CCCCUAGAUGUUCUGGGCCGCACGCGCGCUACACUGAACAGUUCAACAAGUCUUAACCUUGGCCGAUAGGUCUGGGUAAUCUUUGAACGCUGUUCGUGAUUGGGAUAGACCUUUGCAAUUAUGGGUCUUCAACGAGGAAAUCCUAGUAAACGCAAGUCAUCAGCUUGCAUUGAUUACGUCCCUGCCCUUUGUACACACCGCCCGUCGCACCUACCGAUUGAAUGGUCCGGUGAAAUCUCGGGACGGCGGCUUGGUCGCUUGCGUCCGACUGCUGAAACUUGAUUAAACCAUAUCAUUUAGAGGAAGGUGAAGUCGUAACA